AGUGAACGCUGGCGGUAGGCCUAACACAUGCAAGUCGAACGGCAGCACAGUAAGAGCUUGCUCUUACGGGUGGCGAGUGGCGGACGGGUGAGGAAUACAUCGGAAUCUACUUUUUCGUGGGGGAUAACGUAGGGAAACUUACGCUAAUACCGCAUACGACCUACGGGUGGAAGCAGGGGAUCUUCGGACCUUGCGCGAUUGAAUGAGCCGAUGUCGGAUUAGCUAGUUGGCGGGGUAAAGGCCCACCAAGGCGACGAUCCGUAGCUGGUCUGAGAUGAUGAUCAGCCACACUGGAACUGAGACACGGUCCAGACUCCUACGGGAGGCAGCAGUGGGGAAUAUUGGACAAUGGGCGCAAGCCUGAUCCAGCCAUACCGCGUGGGUGAAGAAGGCCUUCGGGUUGUAAAGCCCUUUUGUUGGGAAAGAAAAGCAGCAGGUUAAUACCCCGCUGUUCUGACGGUACCCAAAGAAUAAGCACCGGCUAACUUCGUG
rnacentral:rRNA from 1 species